rnacentral:rRNA from 1 species
UCCUGGCUCAGAACGAACGCUGGCGGCAGGCUUAACACAUGCAAGUCGAGCGCCUCGCAAGAGGAGCGACAGACGGGUGAGUAACGCGUGGGAAUCUACCCAUCUCUACGGAACAACUCCGGGAAACUGGAGCUAAUACCGUAUACGUCCUUCGGGAGAAAGAUCUAUCGGAGAUGGAUGAGCCCGCGUUGGAUUAGCUAGUUGGUGGGGUAAUGGCCUACCAAGGCGACGAUCCAUAGCUGGUCUGAGAGGAUGAUCAGCCACACUGGGACUGAGACACGGCCCAGACUCCUACGGGAGGCAGCAGUGGGAAUAUUGGACAAUGGGCGAAAGCCUGAUCCAGCAAUGCCGCGUGAGUGAUGAAGGCCUUAGGGUUGUAAAGCUCUUUUACCCGGGAUGAUAAUGACAGUACCGGGAGAAUAAGCUCCGGCUAACUCCGUG